rnacentral:lncRNA from 1 species
GAAGGAUUCUAACAGUCUAGCAAACAUUGAGAUGACUAAGAACUAACAACCAGAGUCCUGUUACUGCAGUGAGGUUAAGGCUAGUUCUGAGCUCCACGUUUCCUGGUGCUGGAAUCCUCCCUUACCUAGCUAGUGUCACUACUGGAAGAGAGAUGCUUCAUUCCUAUUCCUCUACCCACCCAACAGAUACUGUGAGGUCUUACCUUGGUGAUUCCAGAAUUCUAAAAUAAAUGGAAAGAGCCUCAACUAUCAAACUGACAAUGCAAUAGUUUUCUGAAAUGCUGAAAGAAAAGAAAGGCUUGGAUCAUGAAGAACUCAAAAGUAGGACUGAAAUUUUUUCUCCAAGUAGCAAGUCCUUGAUGAAAGACUUGAUUGGCUCAGCUUUAACCAGAGGCCAUUCCCAGGACCAUUCAAAAAACCAGAGGUGGGGCCAGAAAAUGAGAAAGUGUGUCUGGAAGACAGCACCGAAGAUGUUGGACUGUCACUUGAUAAGUAGAUUAUGGGGUCAUCCCAUCAGAAACACUGUGCAUUUGAACUGA